GGGGACGCCGGCGCGCCCCGGCUGUGGCAGCCCCGUCUCCGUUCCCCGGAGCCCUCCCCGAUGGGGGCGACCUCAGCGGCCUCGCUGCUCCUCCUCCUCCCUCCUGGCGGCUCUCUGAGGUGGAGGCAUCCCUGUAGGAGUUAUAAACAAAGGAAAGUCUUAGAGUCUCUUUCUGUUCACAUUCCCUAAUGUGCAUAAAAAGGGACAUCCUUCAUUAGCUUGUUGCGAUCAAAAGUGAAUUCAGUGCUCCGAAGGUCAAGAGAUGAAGAUGGCUGUUCUGCACAGGUACAUGAACUGUUCUAACAAACACCAUGGUGUAGUGUACCCAAAGACACUUGCUGUCCUGCCAGUGGAAAAAGAAAGGCAUCCCUCUUAGGUAUUCUUUAUUUCCUCUGUGAGGCAUUUAACCCACUGACUGUGUGACGGCUGGGAUUUCUAAAGGAAGAAGUCUGAAUCAUCCUGUCAGGUAGAUGCUUCACCACUGGCAGCUACAAAAGUCUGAAUAUAACUGAAUAAUAUCAAUAGGUUGAUCUGUAGAAACACUGAGCAUCAGUAAAUGUACUCUGAUGGGAUAACACGCUUUUCUGAAGGUAAUGUGAAAAAUCAGAACCUAUUGAUUGUGCAAUUAAUUUUCCAUACUUCCCUUUGUUGUUCUGAAAGCACUGGACUAUAUGUUCAAAAACAUGUAUGAAGAGCUUUUAAUUAUUGUCUUUACGUCUUGGUAAACUUAACCUUUAUUUUGCAGCUCUCCUCUGGGAUAGUAACAUUUUACCAAAGUGGGUAAAACCUAACAAUAAAUAUUGUGUUAUGAUGAGUGUUUUUGCUUGGUUCAGAAAUAAAACUCCUCAACAUAUCUUGUAUUUUAUUCUUUACCGAUUAGGUCAAAAAUAUAGUUGUGCAAUUUACUGUCUCCAGGUACUUCCUGUCAUUCCUCUAUAGAGCUACAGUAGACAAUCCUAUAUAGGAAUCAGAAAUUUAUUUUUCCUAUGGGUCAUGAGACUGAGAUAUUUUCUAUUAUCUUGGGGAUUGUAGUGCUAUGUCACAAAAUCAGUAAUAAAUUAUUUUUCUAUAUUUCCAUUUUAUUGUCAGUCGUGUUCUCAUAGCCAGUAAUACACGGCUUGGACUACAAAUUUAUGAUAUCUUGCAAUAGCCACUUCCCAUCAAACAACAUGAACCCUUCAGUAGUUUUUAAUGGUGUAGGGAGAGACUCCAGUGGAUAUUAAGACAUCUCUAGGCAUCUGUACGGAAGUGCUCUAGUGUAAGCUGUGUGUGUAAACUUCUAUUGUAGACAAUAGAGUUAAAAUAAUCCAUGAAGCCUAGUCAGGACCUCGUCAGCUAAUGAACUGCCUUGCAUGUAUUUCAGAGUCACCUGGGCUUUGUGCUAAGUUCCAUUUGAACACACAGAAAAAAAUAUGACAUUUUAUAAAAUAGGCUGCUAAUUUUGUACGUCACAUAUUAAGAAUUUUACAUAUUUCGCUUCUUGAUGUUUCCAGAAAUUGGAAAAGAUAUUCCACUGUAAUUAUUAAAUUUCUGAG
rnacentral:lncRNA from 7 species